rnacentral:rRNA from 1 species
AGCAGUCGCCGCGGGAAUACAGAGGGUGCGAGCGUUAAUCGGAUUUACUGGGCGUAAAGCGUGCGUAGGCGGCUAAUUGAGUCGGAUGUGAAAUCCCCGAGCUUAACUUGGGAAUUGCAUUCGAUACUGGUUAGCUAGAGUGUGGGAGAGGAUGGUAGAAUUCCAGGUGUAGCGGUGAAAUGCGUAGAGAUCUGGAGGAAUACCGAUGGCGAAGGCAGCCAUCUGGCCUAACACUGACGCUGAGGUACGAAAGCAUGGGGAGCAAACAGGAUUAGAUACCCGAGUAGUCCCUGUCUCUUAUAC